rnacentral:rRNA from 1 species
GAGACCUCAGGUCAGGCGGGGCUACCCGCUGAGUUUAAGCAUAUCAAUAGCGGGAAAGGAA